GUUGAGCUGUAAACUUUUACUUACACUUCAACCGCCAGAAAACUACGAGCUCAGCUUAAAACUCAAAGGACUUGACGGUAUUCCAUAUCCGACUAGAGGAGCCUGUCCUAUAACCGAUGAUCCCCGUUUAACCUCACCCUUUUUAGCUUACCAGCCUGUAUACUUCCGUCGUCAGCCCAUCACAUGAGUGCAACUCAAUGGGCCACCCCGUCUGAUCCUCACAAACGUCAGGUCAAAGUGCAGCAAAUAAAAGGGCAAGAGAUGGGCUACAUUCUCUACUAUAGAGCACACGAAAGGCUGAAUGAAACCCAGCCAUGAAGGCGGAUUUAGAAGUAAAGGGAGAUCAGAGUGCCCCCUUUAACCUGGCCCUGGAAUGCGCA
rnacentral:rRNA from 1 species